rnacentral:rRNA from 1 species
CGAACGGGUGAGUAACACGUGAGCAAUCUGCCCCUGACUCCGGAAUAACUACGGGAAACUGUAGCUAAUACCGGAUAUGCGCCGAACAGGCAGUCUGUAUCGGUGGGAAAGAAUUUCGGUCAGGGAUGAGCUCGCGGCCUAUCAGCUUGUUGGUGAGGUAACGGCUCACCAAGGCGACGACGGGUAGCCGGCCUGAGAGGGUGACCGGCCACAUUGGGACUGAGACACGGCCCAG